GCCGGGUGCGGUGGCCCACGCCUGUCAUCCCAGCCGCUCGGGAGGCUGAGGCAGGAGGAUCGAAAGUUGGAGGCCAGCCUCAGCCACUCAGCAAGGCCCUAAGCAGCUCAGGGAGACCCUGUCUCUA
rnacentral:sRNA from 1 species